GGACGACCUCGGGCUUGCCCGGGGAAGUUAGUGGCGAACGGCUGAGUAACGCGUGGGUGACCUGCCCAGAAGUGGGGAAUAACUGCCCGAAAGGGUGGCUAAUACCGCAUGUGGUCAUCGGUUCGGUCCGAUGUCCAAAGCCUUCGGGCGCUUCUGGAGGGGCCUGCGUUCGAUUAGCUCGUUGGUGAGGUAACGGCUCACCAAGGCGACGAUCGAUAGGUGGUCUGAGAGGAUGAUCACCCAGACUGGGACUGAGACACGGCCCAGACUCCUACGGGAGGCAGCAGUCGGGAAUUUUGCCCAAUGGGGGAAACCCUGAGGCAGCAACGCCGCGUGAGGGAUGACGGCCUUCGGGUUGUAAACCUCUUUUGUCAGGGACGAUAAUGACGGUACCUGAAGAAUAAGCCACGGCUAACUACGUGCCAGCAGCCGCGGUAAUACGUAGGUGGCAAGCGUUGUCCGGAUUUACUGGGCGUAAAGAGCGCGCAGGCGGCCAGGUAAGUCGAAUGUGAAAGCCCCCGGCUCAACUGGGGAGGGUCAUUCGAUACUGCUUGGCUUGAAGAUAGGAGAGGGAAGCGGAAUUUCAGGUGUAGUGGUGAAAUGCGUAGAUAUCUGAAGGAACACCAGUGGCGAAGGCGGCUUUCUGGCCUAUUCUUGACGCUGAGGCGCGAAAGCUAGGGGAGCGAACGGGAUUAGAUACCCCGGUAGUCCUAGCCGUAAACGAUGAACACUAGAUGUUGGUGGUAUCAACCCCGCCAGUGUCGCAGCUAACGCAUUAAGUGUUCCGCCUGGGGAGUACGGCCGCAAGGCUAAAACUCAAAGGAAUUGACGGGGG
rnacentral:rRNA from 1 species